ensembl:lncRNA
UUUUUUUUUUUUUUUUGAGACGGAGUCUUGCUAUGUCGCCCAGGGUGGAGUGCAGUGGCCGGAUCUCAGCUCACUGCAAGCUCCGCCUCCGGAUUUUUACGCCAUUCUCCUGCCUCAGCCUCCCGAGUAGCCGGGACUACAGGCUUCACCACCUCGCCCGGCUAGUUUUUGUAUUUUUAGUAGAGACGGGGUUUCACCGUGUUAGCCAGGAUGGUCUCGAACUCCUGACCUCGUGAUCCGCCCGUCUCGGCCUCCCAAAGUGCUGGGAUUACAGGCUUGAGCCACCGUGCCCGGCCGAGGCCAGGACAACUUCUGAUGCCAGUGUUAUCCACUGCAAGGCCUGGCACCACGGAGGCCUCGAAACAGGGGGGCCAGAUGGGACCCCCAUUUAGCACAAGAGAGACGUCCAUACUCUAUGAGCCAAAGGGAGAAGGCUCAGGCCAAGGCAGAGACAGAACCAGGAAAACUUCACCAAGGACAGCCCCAGGUUGCCAGGUCCCCUGCAGGAACACACGGGCCCUGGGCCGUCCCACCUGGGCCCAGAGCUUCGGCUAGUUUCUCCGCAGCUGUAAGGUGACAGCUCUGGGCUCCUGGGACAGGGCCACUGACACUGGUGGUGUGACUGCUCCAACUCCACACCUCCCUUGCUCUCCCUGAUGCUGGGUGCGUGAGGCCUCCCUGGGGGUUGCAUGGAUCUCAGCACUCAACUUCCGAGCCACUUCUGCUUCUCCUACUAUGCUGGGGUUCCCCUGAACCAGCCAGCAGCCCUGCAUGGAGGAGUCCUCAUGGACAGUACACCCCACUGGGCAGGGAGUCCAGCGUCUCCAAGCCAACAACUAACACCUAGAGGACUUCGGAACAGCCUUUGUCCCCCCAGACCCCAACCUCGGGGCGGAAGGGGGCGGUCAUGACAGUCAAGGGUCUGGGCUCUGGAAUCACACAUAGACUUGGGUUCUGAAGCUGCUGGGGGCCUUGGGCCAAGUGCCAACCAGAGCCUCCAACCCGAGCCUCCAUCCCAUCCCCCUAAAAUGGGGGUGACCACCUCCAUCCCAGAGCCUUGAGAAUUUAGGACUGUGAGGACCAGGCAUGAGGCCAGGUUCCUGCAAAGUGUGCACCAGCAAGUGUUGUCGAAUCUGCAGUUUCUCACACCACAGAGGCCCCAGCGCCCGGCACAGUCCUCACUAGGCUGAGGGCCUCAGGAUGCACCAGAGGAUGCAUGAACGAGGUUCGGAAAGGCCUGUGAGACAUGUCUGAGGAUGGGUAUCCUGAGAGCUGUGUAGACCUAGUAACAAAAGACCUCCCAGGCGGCCAGUUGUGGGUGGCCUUGAGCUGUGACCCCUGCCAUUCCCUGCCCAGAGCCCACUGUCAUCCUUCCUUAAGUAACAGGCUUCUGAUAGCCAAUCCCGCCUCUUUAUCUUUCAAGACACACAACUUCCCCUGCACCACACACUCCUCCCUCAAGGUCAGAGCUCCCAGGACCACUCUGACAAAUCUCCCCACCCCUCUCCCCAGUGCGAAUGGGUCUCAGCUGCUCUGGCACAGGGUCUGUACGAUUCCUGCCAGGCUGCCCAGCACACAGCACCACUCUACCUCGCGCCUGCACAGAGGCAGGCUGGGCCAGGCACCUCGUCUGGGCCCUCACAGGACAGUGCUGUGCCAAGACCAUGCGUGACCUCAUGCCCAGCACAGGGCCUGGCCUGUGCCGUCGCCUGGAUGGAUUACGUUGACUCAGGGAAUUAUGAACUUGCUCUCCUUUUUAGGCAACUGAAGGGAAAUUGAACCUGGGAAAAGGGAAGUGACAUGUCCAAGGUCACGGAAGUGCAAGAGACAGUGCCAAGGCCAGGGCCCAGGAACGCCUGGCUCCAGAACCCUUUCCAUCUACUUUACACCCAUCUGUUGAGGUCUGCGCUGGCUCUAAAACGCAAGCAUUAAGAGCCUUCCUGCUGAGGUCAAUACUAUUAUUACCACUUCCACUCUGUCCCGGUGGAAAGUAAGGCACUGAAGUUACUCGUCUAAGGCCACAAAGGUGAGUGGUGGGGCUGGGACUUGAACCCAGGCCUGCCUGGUCCCAGAGCUCUUGGGGAAUACAACCCAAUUCCUGCAUGCACUCUGGCAGGGCACCAGUGAGGGGCCAGGCUGGGUGACGAGCCCUUCCCAUCCCUCAGCUUUGCUGAAGCCUGGAUGGAUGGAUAAGACGUGAGAUAAGCAAGCAGGAAUCUGAUCUGGAUGUCCUCUGGGGCCGUGGCCGGAGGAGCACAGGGACUGCGCAGAGCCAGGCAGGUGAAUGUCAGCAGCGUUUAGCCAAAGAGGCUUACAGUCUUACAGAGGAGCUAAGCCAGGAUCAACGCAACUGUGCUUCCCGGCGCUGGGGCCAAUCGGAUCCCCAGACGGUUCCUGAGCACUGCCCAACAUGGGGGCCUGGGACCAGGUAACCGCAAAAAGCAGACCAAGUCAUUCCUUCCCUAAAGCCCUGACCAUCCCCCGGACCGGGCUAGGUCAAGAUGCCUUCCCUGGCUCCCAGAGUCCCCAGACCUCUGGAUUAGGGGUCCGAUCACCCUGGGUGGCGACUCUGUCGCCGGGGUCUGUCUCUGCCUUCCACUCAGACUCCAGGCCCUCGUUCAUCUCCCUGCUCCCUGCCUAGUGCACGGCGCAGGGCCUGGCACUGAAAAAGCUUCUGCCUCAACUCACUCGUGCCUUCUGUGUCUGUGGGUCCCUUUUCUGUCCGACUCUGCAGGUCCCAGGGGCACUCAUCCACAUGAAUUGGGGUCAGCUCCCUGGACUGGAGGUCGGGGUGGGGUGUCGGGGGGCGGGGCUCCACUCUGAACCACUCGGCAUGGGGGAGGGAGGCCUCAGGAAUCGCCACCGGGUCCAGACCCCGCCUUCGCCCUGCCCCGUGGGCCACGCGGUGGCUGACCUUGGCCCAGUCACUUCCCCCCUGGGGACGCGCUUCCUCCCCGCCUGCCGCGCAAGGGCGAAUGAAUGGGCCUCCUGCCGGCCACAAUCCCCGUAAUUACCCGCCUGAUCAAAGGCCACGCACAGCCCGCCCGGGGCAGCAACGGGACCCACACUGACUCGAAAAAGGGAAGGAAGGGCUGGGGGGGCCGAGGGCUGAGACCGUGCCCUCGGGGCCGCAGUAUCCGGCCAGGCCAGCCCGGCCC